rnacentral:rRNA from 1 species
UACGUAGGGACCGAGCGUUGUCCGGAAUCAUUGGGCGUAAAGAGCGUGUAGGCGGUCCGGUAAGUCCGCUGUGAAAGUCGGGGGUCAACCCUCGAAUGCCGGUGGAUACUGUCGGGCUAGAGUGCGGAAGAGGCGAGUGGAAUUCCUGGUGUAGCGGUGAAAUGCGUAGAUAUCGGGAGGAACACCAGUGGCGAAGGCGGUUGCCUGGAGCUUUGCUGACGCUGAUGCGCGAAGCCAGGGGAGCAAACGGG